GCCGGCAGGGGGCGCGCGGCAGGGAGAGCGGGCGGGAAGGCGCGGAGGGCGGGAACGUGUGGUGGGCUCCGCGCGCAGCCCGGCCCGUGGCGGCCCUCGGAGCCGUCCCCCGGCAGAGGAGCGCUCUCGUCCCGGCGUGACCCUGCGCUGCGAUGUGUCCUGGAAAGAGGACUUCUUACAGAGCGAUGUGAUGAAAAACUGGCACGCCUGAAAGAAAUGACUGUUGAGGAGAGCAAAAAAGAGAAGUUCAAAGCAUGGUAAAAGAUCUUGGCAGAUGCAGAACUUUUGGAGAGAGGCUUACAACUAAAGAGGCAGCACUCCUGCUGCCCGAGAAUUCUUGCAUUGUUCUGCAGUAUUGCGGAAGGGGUGUGGAGGAAUCUCUGGGGAACGGCUCUGUUGUCCGUGGUUGUUUUAUGGAAAGAAUACUGCAAGACUAACCCCCAAAAAGAGAAGAGAAAUAACAAUCAGUACUGCCAUCCUGGUGAAAUAAUGGUAGUGGAGAUGCAGAUUCUGUCACUGAGCAUGUAAUGGCAAUGGACAGCUCGAUGAACGCGAGUCACAAGAUGUCUUGGAACAAUCUCAGCAAGAAAGGAGUGGAGUGAAUUUGGUGCUAACAAAAGACUGAUUUUGCAGCAUAGGAGACUGGAAUUCUGCUUACAAAGUGAACAUCUUUGGAUUUAUGCUGGUUAAUGCUGAGUCCUCCUGCUGCUGCUUUCAGCUCCAGCUGCUCCCAUCUGUACGUAGUGGUACUAUUCUGUGCAGUGCUACCCUUCCUGCAACUGCAAAUUUCAAUACAAUAAAAUCCCAACUGAGAAACGCACAAGGGAGAAGAACUUGGAGCAAGCAAGCAGGGAGAGCUUAAAUUAUGAGAAAACUCUGGAAAGCUCUUAGAGAUUGCCUUUUUUACAGAAAACCUGACACGUACUUCAAAAGAAACACUUUGCGGACCUCCCAGAAACGUCAGUGGACUACUGAUGGUCUUCAAGGAGUUUAGAAGGCACUAUGGAGCCUGUAUUAAUCACUGCAGAUAAGGGAGGAAGUAUUAACUUAGAAUCUGCGGGGAUUGUAUGUAUUUCUGAUAGAGCACACAGUUAAAAAAAAUCAUAGCUGAUAUUUUUCAUACAUAAUAACCUUGAUUCUCUUAGAGCAUUUCAUGUAUUGGGUAUUUAAUUAGACAUAAUUUAGUAAUAUAGCUUAGCGUAUCACUUGAAACCAAAGAUGCAGAAUCUCUAAGUGUUUUAUCACCCUUUUCAAUCUCUUCAAGUCCUUGUCAGCAUUUAAGCAAUUCUUUUAUGGCUAGGUUAAAGCACAUUCAGAAAUUUCCAGAAGUUUUAUUUGAAACAAUUACUCAUUUCCGUAACAGAGUGUAAAAAAAGCAACACAGUGGCCUAAAUGUAGAUGAGGGACCCUAAGAUUCCUCUUUAAAAACAACAAACACACUGAGCCAUUAAGAAAGCUCAUAAAGUUGAUAUUAGACAAGAAAAAUGCUGACUGAAUUGCAGGGGCAAGUACUUCAUCUUUCUAGAGGUCAGGGAUAUUUUAAAUAGGAGAGUGUUUUUUCCUCCUCAUUUAGCCCAUUGUCUCUUUAUUGCUGUUUGUGCCAAAUUCUUUCUGACAUUCUUAGAAAGUACUGAUUGUUAUGGAACCUAGGACCCCUAACAGUGGUGGUCAUGACAAAGUGUAGGCAUAUCCAGAUUUCUUCUGAAUGAAAACGUGUUUGAUUCUACUUACUGAUGUGAGAAGAAGUCCUGUUGGUGACAGCGGUCUGAAAGCUCGUCAAGCACAAAGAGUUCAGCAGGCAGAAGUGUGAUGACCAGCGUGAACUACAGCUGCUGUUCAGCAGUGAGCAUACAGAGGUGAGCUGACUAUCAGCAGUUACUGCGUAGUCAUGCAAGAGGUGGGAAAAACUCUGCUCUGUUCAGGGUGAUGUUGAGAAGCAAAAUAUUCCAACUACCCUUAACAUUCACAUGCAGCUGUGUCUUUGCAGUUUGCAGCUGAUACUUUAGGAAGAAUGUUAAUGUGACAGCAUGUCCUCUUUGGGUGAGGAGAGGGAGGUGACUUGAGGCAAACAGCUGUUAAAUAUUUUGAUAGCAAUCAAGUUGGUAGAUGUAACAUCUCAGACCUGACUCCAUCAUCGAGCAAAAACUUGAGGGCAGGCAAGCCAAAAACCAUCUGCUUUUAGGCAGCAUUUCUUUGCUGUUAUGAUUUUAUGCUUAACACUUAUUAUUUGCUGCCUCCGAAACUCCAGCAUGAAAAAAUUGAAGGUUAUAAGAGCAGGGAUUGUGGCUCCUGUUCCAUCCUGAGAUGAACCUGGUGAGUUAACUCCACCCCCCAGAGGGGUUUCUUUGUAGUCCACAACUAGAUAAGGUGUGUGUAAAAGCUCUCAUUCCCCAUACUUGCCAUUCUCAUGAGAAGUUCAGCUUAGGCUUAAGGUUUAUGCCUGUAGCAUGGAAAGCUUCUCAAAAAAAAAAAACAAAAAAACCCAAAAACCUAGUGAAUAGUAGAUGUCAUACCAUGAGGAGAAGAGACUCCAUCAGUCACAGAUCAGUAUGUUGCUGAGGAAAGGCCCAGAAAAUUACUUUCCCCAUCUUCUCAUCCAAAAGAAUGAAAACAUACAGAAACAAGAAAAGACGCAGAAACUGUUUUUGAACAAAUUUCUGAUGCUUCACAGCCUUUGUUCAGUCCUCGUGUAUGCUUGAUCUUGCCACAGAACACUGUCUCAUCUGAGUUCCCAAGAGGAGGCAGUCCACCUAGAAAUUCUGUCAGCUAUACCUUGGAACAGAGGGCACAAGAAGAUGUCCUGGAGAUGACUCUGAGACCUGAUUUGAGGCAUCUCUAGUCUCCAGCUGAGCCCCAAAGCUGAUGAGAAGCUGCUUGCCCUUGUUAGAGCCUUUGGGGAGAUCUUUGACAAUCUCAUGAAGCAAAGGGGAAAGCAUUAAAACAAACAGCUAUUUGUACUGCUAAACUCCUCCAAAUGCCUUCAGAACUUGCACAAUACAGACAUCUCUGGUUUGGCAGAGGUGAUUUUUGAAGAUUUGACUUCACAGACUGGUUUUGUUCUGCUCUUGCUGUGGGGUGAGCAGUAUGAAUGCCACACUGAAACAAAAGAAAACGCCUUCGGCCAAAUUCUCCUCUCAGAGCCCUGCAAACCCACCCAAGCCAACUCGGUAGCAGUAGCAGUACUGAGGAAAAAUAGUUUAACUCCUCAGAUUCCUGAAGCUUAUGUGCCAUUGGGAGAAUUGGGGAAACACAGCGUGGUUCACUGAUCAAAGCGCAGGGGAGCCAGGCCCCACAUUGAAUCGCUACACUGCCAGACUUCUGUGUUGUGAUGCAAACAAGACUUGAGUUAGUAGGUUCCCCAGCAGUGCAAUGUAGCACCGUGCCUUGCAGCCAUGGACAGAGCUCGUCUGCUGGUCUGUUUUAUAAAUAAGGUAAAAGAAAACAUCUUUCUUGACUCAAGGUACUUGUAAUCUUGGUAAAUAUGUCACAGUAAGGUUCUGUGAAGCAAAAUACUGAUUCUAAGAGAGAGGAGAUAGGAAGUAAUCCAGCCUUUCUUUUCAUUUCCUUUGGUAAGCUGGAAUCUGAAUAACUUAUCUGCUUCUCUGUGGAUAUAGAAAACAAGU